GAGGGUAUAGCUCAAGUGGUAGAGCGCACGCUUAGCAUACACAAGGUCCUGGGUUCAAUCCCCAGUACCUCUU
rfam:Camelus ferus unplaced genomic scaffold scaffold1210, whole genome shotgun sequence.